AGAAAUUUUAUUUUGGCCAGGAGCUGAAGUUGGUUGUUUAGUAGUAGUAGUUUGAGUAGUGACCGAAGUAGUAGUCUGGUGUGUGGGUGGGGCAGCUGUGGUCUCUGGUGGAGCUGAGGCGGAUGAUGGGUCUAGGGUAGUUGCAGAAGGUGUGGGUGGGGCAGCUGUGGUCUCUGGUGGAGCUGAGGAAGAUGGUGGAGCUGGUGUAGUUGCAGAAGGUGUGGGUGGGGCAGCUGUGGUGUCUUGUGGAGCUGGGGAAUUCACUGGUGCUAAUGUAGGGUUGACCACACUGCUAUUUUUAUCUGGAUGUUUAGGUGGCUGGUGAGGAUUUGGGAAUUUGGGGGGGUU
rnacentral:lncRNA from 1 species